rnacentral:rRNA from 1 species
GUGCAGCAGGCGCGAAACCUCCGCAAUACACGAAAGUGUGACGGGGUUACCCAAAGUGUCCAAAUUUGGACUGUGGUAGGUGAGUAAUGUCCCCUACUAGAAAGGAGAGGGCAAGGCUGGUGCCAGCCGCCGCGGUAAAACCAGCUCUUCAAGUGGUCGGGAUAAUUAUUGGGCUUAAAGUGUCCGUAGCCGGUUUAGUAAGUUCCUGGUAAAAUCGGGUAGCUUAACUAUCUGUAUGCUAGGAAUACUGCUAUACUAGAGGGCGGGAGAGGUCUGAGGUACUACAGGGGUAGGGGUGAAAUCCUGUAAUCCUUGUAGGACCACCAGUGGUGAAGGCGUCAGACUGGAACGCGCCUGACGGUGAGGGACGAAAGCCAGGGGAGCGAACCGGAUUAGAUACCCCCGUAGU